GACGAACCGUGCGAACGUUGUUCGGAUUCACUGGGCCUAAAGGGCGCGUAGGCGGGCCGUAAAGUCGGGGGUGAAAUCUUUCAGCUCAACUGGAAAAGAGCCUUCGAUACUGACGGCCUCGAGGGAGGUAGGGGCGUGCGGAACUUCCGGUGGAGCGGUGAAAUGCGUAGAGAUCGGAAGGAACGCCGGUGGCGAAAGCGGCGCGCUGGACCUCUUCUGACGCUGAGGCGCGAAAGCCAGGGGAGCAAACGGG
rnacentral:rRNA from 1 species